CCUACGGGGGACAGCAGUGAGGAAUAUUGGUCAAUGGUCGGGAGACUGAACCAGCCAAGCCGCGUGAGGGAUGAAGGUACAGAGUAUCGUAAACCUCUUUUGUCAGGGAACAAAGGCGGGGACGUGUCCCCGGAUGAGUGUACCUGAAGAAAAAGCAUCGGCUAACUCCGUGCCAGCAGCCGCGGUAAUACGGAGGAUGCGAGUGUUAUCCGGAUUUAUUGGGUUAAAGGGGUGCGCAGGCGGUUUGUUACGUCGGCGGUAAAAGCCCGGGGCCCACCCCCGGCCCGCCGUUGAAACUGGCAGUCUCGAGUUGGAGAGAAGUAUGCGGAAGGCGCGGUGUAGCGGUGAAAUGCAUAGAUAUCGCGCAGAACUCCGAUUGCGAAGGCAGCAUGCCGGCUCCACACUGACGCUGAGGCACGAAAGUGCGGGUAUCGAACAGGAUUAGAUACCCCAGUAGUC
rnacentral:rRNA from 1 species